rnacentral:rRNA from 1 species
AGUGGGGAAUUUUCCGCAAUGGGCGAAAGCCUGACGGAGCAAUACCGCGUGAGGGAGGAAGGCUCUUGGGUUGUAAACCUCUUUUCUCAGGGAAGAAUUCAAUGACGGUACCUGAGGAAUAAGCAUCGGCUAACUCCGUGCCAGCAGCCGCGGUAAUACGGAGGAUGCAAGCGUUAUCCGGAAUGAUUGGGCGUAAAGCGUCCGCAGGUGGCCAUGUAAGUCUGCUGUUAAAGAGCAAGGCUCAACCUUGUAAAGGCAGUGGAAACUACACGGCUAGAGUGCGUUCGGGGCAGAGGGAAUUCCUGGUGUAGCGGUGAAAUGCGUAGAGAUCAGGAAGAACACCGGUGGCGAAAGCGCUCUGCUAGGCCGCAACUGACACUGAGGGACGAAGGCUAGGGGAGCGAAUGGGAUUAGAUACCCCCGUAGUCCUAGCCGUAAACGAUGGAUACUAGGCGUGGCUUGUAUCGAC